GUGGAUUAGAUACCCUGGUAGUCCACACCGUAAACGUUGGGCGCUAGGUGUGGGAUCCAUUCCACGGGUUCCGUGCCGCAGCUAACGCAUUAAGCGCCCCGCCUGGGGAGUACGGCCGCAAGGCUAAAACUCAAAGGAAUUGACGGGGGCCCGCACAAGCGGCGGAGCAUGCGGAUUAAUUCGAUGCAACGCGAAGAACCUUACCUGGGUUUGACAUAUGCCGGAAAGCUCCAGAGAUGGAGCCCCUUUUGUCGGUAUACAGGUGGUGCAUGGCUGUCGUCAACU
rnacentral:rRNA from 1 species